rnacentral:rRNA from 1 species
CUCGUAGUUGGAUCUCGGUGCCGGUCUGGCGGUCCGCCUCGCCGCGGUCUCACUGCCAGUCCCGGAGCCAUCCCGCCGGCCUUCCCUCGGUGCUCUUUACCGAGUGUCUUGGGUGACCGGAACGUUUACUUUGAACAAAUUAGAGUGCUCCAAGCAGGCGCGUCCCGCCCGCAUAGCCCAGCAUGGAAUAAUGGAAUAGGACCUCGGUUCUAUUUUGUUGGUUUUCGGAACCCGAGGUAAUGAUUAAUAGGGACAGACGGGGGCAUUCGUAUUGCGACGCUAGAGGUGAAAUUCUUGGACCGUCGCAAGACGAACUACUGCGAAAGCAUUUGCCAAGAAUGUUUUCAUUAAUCAAGAACGAAAGUUAGAGGUUCGAAGGCGAUCAGAUACCGCCCUAGUUCUAACCAUAAACGAUGCCGACCAGCGAUCCGCCGGAGUUCCUCCGAUGACUCGGCGGGCAGCUUCCGGGAAACCAAAGUGUUUGGGUUCCGGGGGAAGUAUGGUUG